ACAAAGAGCCCUCUGCACUAGCGCCGCAGGACCGCGGACCCGAGUUGGAGGCAUCUGUCCACCCAUGUGGUUCCAGACACGUUCAUGUGGCCACCAUGACCCCGUCGGCAUCACAGGGGUAACCAAGGUGAUCCUCCCUCUCUUCCUGUGUCCACUGGGGAUGGUAGAGACCAGCUUAAUGCUUUGAGAUCAGAUCCAUCACGAAAUCCGUAUGUCCUGAGACCUCCUGAAUCUUAAGAGAGCAGCAAGUUCCUGGGACAGAGGAGACAGAAGGGAAUUUCCAGGUUCUUCAGGACGUUCACAACCACACUGAGAAGCAUCUUUGCAGAUAAGUAUUUAAACUUACCAGCCCAUAGCCUACCAGCCUGCCCUCUUCUGGUCUGUGCAGGAAAGUGUAGUAUCCUAGAAUGCCAAAGUGGGAGGGGAAAUGGGUGAUGUAGCUCAUUCUCUUUUCUACCUCUAUGGAAGAAAGAAAGAGCCUGUCCCCAUUUUGUGGGGUCCCAGAAAGGGUGAUUUUCACACUUCACAUUUGGCGUUAGGGCUAGUAUUUCACAAACAUUACCGUCUGGAACUUUUGAAGGCUGAGUUAAAUGACUUCAUCUUGUGUACUUGUAGAACUGCUAUUAGAAGGAGGCUGGGGACUCCCUGAUGAUGUGAACCAGCCCUUCUCUUCUCAGUUUCAGCACUUUGUGAUCAUAUUUAUAAACCUUGGACAGGGCUCCUUGGCCUUAGAGUUAAGUGAAGAGUUAACACUGUGACUUUAGAUGCAUUUUUCUCAGUGUAAGUGUCUGAGCUCAUCUCCAGUUCUGGACUCGUGCCCCCACUCCCGGGUGCUGACAGCAAGCUCUGAAGAUAUGCUGAGAGAGCUCCCUGACUCUCCUGACUCAGGUCUGCCAGUUGAUGAAGACAGCACAGUUGUUACCAAAAACAAAACCUGGCAGAUGGUCCUAGGUCAGGAUUAGUGGUCAUUCUCUGGUCUUCUCCAGACUGGUGACACAGGGUGGUCUUAAAAGAGUCCUAGUCCAGCCUCUGGCUCCCCGAAUUUCCUCUGGUGCAUGGGGCAUCAGGAAAGGGCAGGGGAGAAGGAGGGGGAGCAGAAAAAUAACUGAGGCUGGGCAGAAGGGUCCCUUCCAUUUCCCAUCCAUUGCUUCAAACAAUGGGUGAUUACCGUGCACCUUGAGUGAAUGUCAAGGCAGGAAGGGUUCCAGGGCCACCCAGUGUGGCAGGAGCAGAGCUGGGAUCAGAAUUCUGGAUUCCUGACUCUCCGUUCAGCUGCUAUUCAGCUAUCACCAAGCUGCUGAGUUUGUCCUACUUUCUCCUGGGUCACAUUCUGCUGUUGUUGGGAAACAGGGAGUGAGUGAAGGGAACCUGGGAACCCUUCUCCCCUCACCUUUUAAGGAUGUUCUGGGGUGGAAUAAAGAGAGGUGGAGGGUGGGGUGCCUGGGCCCAGCCUCCCUGGCUCCUGGUCCUUCUUUCUUCAGCAGGGAGUUCUGGCAAGGCCUGGGCCUGGGGAGGGGGCCUGGGUGCAGUUUUCUCCUGCGGUGUGGUUGGCUCUUUUGUCUUCCAGGAUGGGCCUGUGGGGUCUGUGUGGGGAAGGAAGGAGCUGGGAGCCUGGGCUGCCUGUGUGUCGGCUGGAUGCUGCCAGCACCGGCAUGGACCAAGCAACUUCUCUGAGCCAGAUGCUGGGGACGCAGAGGUGAACCCAGAGACAUGAUCCCAUCUGCUCAGAUCUUCAUGUCAGAACACGCUUUAUUACAGUCUCGGCAAGGGGGUGGCUCCAUCUGGGCCGCAUCUCCAGGACUCCUGGCCUGGACUUCUCUUUGGACCUCGGGUGACCUUGGAUUCUGGCCACAGUGACUUAGCGGUCAGACUCCGGUGGUUUUCUAGCCCGCUGGGUGACUCCCUGAAGAUCUCAUCCUCUUCACACCUGUUGGGAUGGAGCCUCCCAUGGAUAGGAACUCUUCCUGGUUGAUGCUCAGCAGAUGACUGAUCUGGCUCUGGAGGACAGCUCCAGGGGUAUGAGGGAGGCCUGGCAGCCCACUACUCCCUCCUCACCUGCUCGGGCCCUGCCUGCUGGGCCCUAUUGUCUGGGUCUGGGGGCCCUUUCCUGCCCCAUGUGAACUUGAUUCCUCCUCGCGUUUCUGCCGGUGACCAGACAGAGCCUGGCCUGGGCCAAGUCCCCACUGACCACACUUUCCCCAAGGCUGGGUCUCAAAGGACCCUACAGGAUGGGGACAGGAACAAGGAUGGGAGUCGGGGAGGGGCUGUCAGGCAGAGGGCAGAUGCAGCUCCUCGGGUGCCGCUGGCUGGAGUCCUUUGUCUCCAUUUGCUCAGUGCGUAAUUGUCAUUUUGUGGGGGACUUCCUUGGUGGGGCUUUUCCAUGCUUUUCCUCUCCCUGAUGGUUACAAAGAGGAGACAGUCAGGAUCUGGGAGGAGCUGGAGCCUUCCCCCUGUGCUGUUGAACUCUGGGAGGGGCAGCCAGAGGGGCUGAGAGUGCACCAUCCUGAAAAGAGAGGGUCUUUAAGAGAUAAGAUUUAGGCUAGGGAAAUUCACUAGAAAGAGACAGGUGGCCCUGGGUUUUUUUUCCUGCCAUCCAAAGGGAACCAGUCUUACCCAAAGGCUUAAGGGGUCACCUUAGCCCAGUCUCAGGACACUCUUCUCCAAUCAGAUCGCUGCUUCUAGUUGCACUGCUCCUGGAUUCUGUUCUUGGGGAACAGAAGGUGGCAGGACAGGCCCCACAAUCUGCAAUUCCAGCUCCCUCCAGAGGAGACAGUCCCAGCGUUUGCAAGAGAGCAGCUUGUGGCCUCCCUUAGGCAAGUUUAAAAGCCAGAUGUCCUUUUUCCCAGAAUGCGGAGUGGUGUGUACUAUUCAUCAGCUUGGGCUGCCACAGCACCAUGCCAGACUGGAUGGCUUAAACAUCAGGAAUUUAUUUUCUGCCAGUUCUGGAGGCUGGAAAGUCCAGAUCAAGGUGUUAAGACUUGGUUUCUGGUGAGGCCUCUCUCCUUGGCUUGCAGGUGGCACCUUCUCACUAUGUCCUCACAUGGCCUUUUCUCUGUGGAGAGGGACAGAGAGCAUGAGCAGGCUCUGGUGUCUCCUCCUCUUCUUAUAAAGACACUAAUAUCACCAUAUUAGGGCUUAAACCUAUGACCUCAUUUAACCUUAACCCCUUAAAGGUCCCAUCUCCAAAAACAGUCACAUAGCAGGCUACUGCUUCAACAUAUGCAUUUGGGGGAGGGGACACCAUUCAGUUCUUAACAGGGUGGUCACCGCAAACAUGGAAAGUCAGAGCCUUCUCCCCUUCAGAAUUCCCGCCCCCACCCAGGGAUGGGGAGGAGGAGCAGAGAGGUAUGGGAAGCAGACACGGAGAGUGGCAGGUACCAUGCUGGGGUGGCUCAGGAGUGCUUCGGAGGACAUAUGGAACUGGCAGGGCUCAGUGCAGGGAGGCGGAGGCCCUGGGAGAGCCGUGUCCUGAGAAGGGCCUGGGCUACAACCCUGGGCAAGUUACUUCACCUCUGAGCCUCCGAUGCUCUGUGAAAUGGAAGGAAUGUGCUUGCCUGUCAGGUGCAGGGAGAAUUCAGUGAGAUUGUGUGCCUAGCACAGUGCCUGACUCCCAGUAGGUGCUCAGCAAAUGCUCCCAUCCAUCUGGGAGUAUAGACUUAGGGUUUAUCUAUUUUUUUUUUUUUUUGGCUCUCUGGACUUUAAAACUCAGCAUCUUCUGAACCAGAGGCAUUUCUGAUUAGCCCUUCCCUACCUAUUUUCCUAGUAUCACUCUUUAAUCAGCUUGGGGAGGUGGCAGCAUUUCAUGGCCUCCGUAGUAACUCACAAUGCUUCCUGGGGUAUUUAAAUUCUACUCUCUCAUCAGCACUGAGCACCUACUUUGGGCCCUUUCCCGUGCUAGCCAUUUGGGGGAAAUAUAGGUGAAGAGUGGCUGGGGUUUGAACCUUUAGGAUUUCACAGCCAUGCUGGAUGGGAUAAAACCAGCUCACAUGGAGAAUCAGAGAAUGGGACAGUGCCACAAAACAGUCUACUGAGGCACAAGUUCUGAGUGCCUGGGAAGUGGUAGAGAGACCCCAGAGAGGGCUGCUGCAGUCUGGAACAGCUUCCUAGCAAGCUGUACCAAACAGGGCCUUGAAGGAUGAGAAAGAUCUGGCUGAGAUGAUACCCGACCCUCUAGGGAAAUUCUUAAAGUAACUUCUAGGAAAUGUCAUUGCUCCUUAAAAAAAAAAAAAAAAAAAAAAAAGCAGGUUCUAAUUCAAAUUCCGCUGCACUACUGAAGUAGUGCAGGACUUAUCAGAACCUUUAAAAUGCUAAUGGCAAUUUCAAAUACUCAGGGACAGGGCAUAGGAUGAAGUGUUCCUUGACUUUUAUGGCCGUAGAAUCUUUUUCUCAUGGAACAUCGUUUAGAACUGUGGGAGAUGCUAGGCUGGGGUUUCUAUGGGAAAAGUACAGCAGUGAUAGAAGAUGGCAUAAUUAGGGUACACUUAGGUGCUUUGUAGCAUUGGCUGAAAAGGAAGCAGACCGGGUGGGCGUGGGGGAGUCUCAACUUGGUUCCAGGAGCCAGGCCAGCUUGAUGCGUUUUUUUUUUUUCUAAUGGUGGGAGGGCAGGCCAAUAGUUGGAGAAACUAGAGGCCUGACAGUCGGUGAUGGAAGAGAUGUCUACUAAGCACGGUUGUCAGAUCUUUUGCGGAGAGAUGCGGGUGUGCGUGUGUCUGUCAGAGUGUAACAGGAUCCAGCCCUCUGGGAAGGGGCUGACCAGAACCAGGCAGGGGGUUUCUGUCUAGGACAAGUAGGGUCCAUUUUCAGGGGAGCUGAAAUAUUUGCAGGGGGUGCUCUGAGACCCACAGCCAAUAAAUAGGGAAGCAACAUGCUUUUGGGCAGGGUCCAUGUGGUUAGGGUUGAUUUUGAUGGGGCUGGGGGGCUUAGAGUUAGACCCCCUGCCCUGGUCAGGCCCCACUCCCUGGCUGGUGGGGGCGGGAGGCCUCUGAAGCUGCAGCUGGAGGGGCCGGGGCAGUGUUGCAUGGUGUGAUUAACCUACUAACCCAGGGCUCAGCCGGGACGCUGUGGCGUGUGACGAGGUGCCUGGCCUUCUGCCAACCAACUAACCCACUAACCAGGCCCGAGCAUGCCCUACUAACCACCCCCCCGCAGCCAGAUCCUACUAACUGUGCAGCUCAUGGGCCUUUCAAGGGGCUGGGAUAUGGGGGCAGCCAAGGCUCCAGAAGGCUCUGCCUAUGGGCUGGGAUCUUUGUGCAGACCCACGUUCCAGGACAGAGAAUGCAAAUAAGACUCACCAACUCUGCCACUUCCUGUUGAGUGAGUUUGAGUAAGUCACCUCACUUCUCUCAACCUCAGUUUCCUCAGUGGUAGAAUGCGAGUUCUGAUACCUUACAGGUUGCAGUGAGGAUUCCCGUCAAUAUAAGGGUCUCAGCACAUGGCAGACACCUAAAAAAAAAAAAAGUAUGAGGAUGGAGGAAGGCCCCUCAAACCUGGUUGAACACGUCUGCUGCCUAGGCCCUGGCCUCUCUGGGUGUUCUGCACACAGAUCCUUCUGCCUGGGGCAAGACACUUGGCUUUGAAUCCAUGUCACUUCCCCACAUUCUUCCUCCGUCUCAGCUUUCUUUUCUGUAGGCAGCUCUUUUGUUCGAUUACUAACCCGUCUAACCCCUGGGGUGCCUCAACUGCACCCCGAUCAUCCCUUAACAAACUAACGGACCUGCGUGCGUUCUUCCUUUUCUCUUAGCGACUCCUGUGUGUGUCUGCUGAGGUGCCCUGUCCGCUGGUGCUGUGCUCUGACUUACUAACCCAGCCCCUACUAACCCUGUUUUCUCUUCUUACUAACCCCAGCCCUGCCGAGCUCUGGGCUCCCCCCGGGGGCUGGUCCCCCUCCUUUUGGCAAGCAGAUGACCUGGGGCUACUGGCCCUGUAGACAGAUGUCCCACUUUGCUGCCCCAUAUUGGCUGUAAGAUCAGAGUCCACUGGGCCAGGUCUAAGGCAGGGGAUGGCCCUAUUAACAAGACUCAGAGGAGGAAGAGGUGGUCCUGUGGAUGUGGGAGGCUGGACUCUGAGUAUGACAUCUCUCCUAUGUGCAGAAGUCUGGUUGCCACUGGGAGUAGGUGGGACCAGGGAAAUCUCUGGGACGUGAGUGUGGAGGCCUGUUGGUCUAGACUCUAGACUGUGGAGCUCUGAGCUUUUGUGUCCUCUGGAAGGAAGCUGGGGAAGAAUCCUCUCCAUUGUUAAGUGACGGGGAUAGAAGCUGUCCUGCACAGGAAGUCACGAGGGGGGCGUAUCCCACGAGGAAGGCAGGAGGGGGCGUGCCCCUCACCGGAAAUUAGCAGAGGGGCGUGUCCCACACCGGAAGUCAGAAAGCGGAGCCUUUCUUACACCGGAAGUCAAUGAAGCGGGUCUUUCCUACGCUAAAAACCACUGAGUGGAGUAUUUAGUACACAGGAAGUCGGCCAGAGAAACAUUUCUCAUAUUUGAAGGCCGGAAAGAGGGACAUUUCUGACACCGGAAGUCAGUGAGAGGACUCUUUCCCACACAGGAAGUCAGCUAGAGAGCCGUCUCCCCUCUCUGGAGCCGAGAGAGGCCGGUUUCCCCCACCAUAGCAGGGCUGGGAGAAAGGGAUGGGGAGAGUCCCUCCUGCCACUGACCCAGGAUGGAUAAAAGUACCCCUUUCAUAGAAGGAAGAAAAUGGGAACAAAGGUGCUGCUGAUCAUCUGAGGUUGCCUGCAUGGCAGUGAAGAACAUGGACCUUUGGGUAGCCCACCUGGGAGGAAUUUUCCAGAGAUCACUGUCUGAUGACCCUGUCUUGGAAUUGGAGCCAUGCAAGUUACACUGACCACGUUUGGGUUGGGAUAUUGAGGAGGUUAUGGUUAAAAGCAUACGAUGGGAGAUCAUAUUGUACUUGCGAGUGAGACCCGGCUGGAGGAAUGUUUUAAUUCUUCGGAAAUACCAAGUGGUCUCUGUAAGUAACAUAGGGUGGUUAGCCAAGCAUAAUGAGACCAUUGAGGCAUCCCAGCAAGAAUUGAUCUGUUUAGAGAAGAGAUGUUGCUGCUGCUUCUUUUUUUUUAACAUUUUAUUUUUAAUUUUGCUGCCUAUGACAAGCUGCUUCUAACAGCCUCAGGGCGAGGGGCCCAUGAGUGCAAGGACAGGAGAGGGGUCUGCGAGUUCUACUUGGGUAGGGCUUGGGGCAUCAUAGGAGUGCAGGGAUCUCCUCUCUGGGAUCCAGUUUAACCCUGAUGACAUCCCCCAUGCAGCAAAUAACUCCAGGUAACCGGCAGCAGCUGGUCCACAUCAUAGUCUGUGAGAGAUUGCUCAUGUCUUGCCUGUUUUCCUACCUCUUCAUUCUAAGGAAAAGGACCCACAAUCUGAGUGCCCUGCUCUGGGACAUAGGUGGGGAACAGGCAGGGAUGGGAGGUGGGGACCACUUUCUUCUGCACCCAUUAAAUAUAUGCCUUUUUUUUUUUGAGACAGGGCCUCCCUCUGUCACCCAGACUGGAGGGCAGUGGUGCAAUCGUGGCUCACUGCUGCCUCAGUCUCCAGAUGGCUCAAGCCAUCCUCCCCCAUCAGCUGUCAAAAUACCUGGAUUUACAGGUGCAUGCCACCAUGCCCAGCUAAUUUUUUCUAUUUUUUUUUUUUUUGUAGAGAUGGGUUUUCACUAUUUUUCCCAGGCUAGUCUCCAACUUCUGGGCUCAAGCGAUCCACCCGCCUUGGCCUCCUAAGUCCUAGGAUUAUAGGUAUGAGCCACUGCGCCUGGCCUUUUUGCCUUUUGAAAGUAUCUGUUGUUAACAAUAUUCAAUUGGGUUGAAUCUUGCUAGGGACCAAGGUGAAUUUGCAUAAAUUAGUCUAUGCCAAUUUGCAUACUAUCAGCAAAUUUGUAGUGUACAGAAUUUUGGAAAUAGAAGGAAGCUAAGAGGGGUGUCAAAUGCAGCUUCUUCUUUUUUUACCUGAAAAGAUACCAAAGUCCAGCUCAGGGAAGGUCACACAGCUAAUUCUUAUCAUGGGGAGACAGACCCAGGGACAUCAUGGUGCCUCCGAGAUUAGUACGGCCCCUCAAACAUCCCCAUUUUCUGUCCCUAGCCCAUUGGAACCCCUUAAAGUUGGUCCCUCGAGCUCGGGUGAUAGCACACAUGAUGGAAAGUAGGCAGGCUUGCCAUUGAAGCUCCAACCUAGCUCUGCACCACAUCAGCUGUGUGACCUUGAGCAAAUCACUUAACCACUCUGAGCAUGGCAUUUGUAAAUGUCAAGGUAGCAACGCCCUCUUUACUGCCCUGUUGUGACAAAUAAGAUAUAUUCCAUAAAUAUGAUCCAUGUAGUAUUAAACUACCAUUUACUGAGUCUCCCCUAUGGAAAGCACUUAGUAGGUGCUCAAAAACUCCUAGUCCUUUCUUCCCCUCUUUCAAUGUGUCACUGCAUCUGGGUAAUUUAUACCCAUUUCCUGUUUUCCUUUGAGAAGUGCAUGUCAUGCUCUGCACAAAAGUGACUCUUAAUGGUGGCAUUUCAAGCAUCAUGGCAGAGUGCUGAGACGCUGAUGAAGAUAUUUUAGGCUGGGGUGCAUGGGGAGCACUCUCAGGGCCUCUCAUGCGCAUCCUGAGCCCUUCCUGUGAACCAGACUGACCCUGGCUUCUGUGCCAUUUUCAUUCCAGCCAAGAAUGUUCUGAAAUGAAGCCAAUAUCUGAAGGAUCUAGGAUGCCUGUUCCCCUCUCUUAUGCUGUCUCGGGGGAUGAUUUAGCCACCAAGAAUUUUCCUUAUGGUUGCAAGAUGAUUAAAAAAAACCACACACUCAGAUGCUUUUCGGAGGUUGACAUUUUUCACAGCCCCUCUUCCUCCUCCAUAGAUUUCCUGGAGGUUCCAUCCAGCUCUGGCUCUAGCUGGCUCCUUGACUCUGGACAAGUCACUUCAUCUCUCCAAGCCUUGUCUAUAAAGUAGGGAUAAUACUCCUUCCCACUUCAGAGAGUCAUUCGGGGAUUAAACUGUGACAUGUAUGUAGCCAAGGGUCCAGCACACACUGACAACUCACCAAAUAUUAGCCAUCACUCCAAACUAAGAAGGCAGGAUUCCGGCUGGGCACGGUGGCUCACGCCUGUAAUCCCAGCACUUUGGAAGGCUGACGCAGGUGGAUCAUGAGGUCAAGAGAUUGAGACCAUCCUGGCCAACAUGGUGAAACCCCGUCUCUACUAAAAAUACAAAAAUUAGCUGGGCGUGGUGGUGCGUGCCUGUAGUCCCAGUUACAGGCUGGGAGGCUGAGGCAGGAGAAUCACUUGAACCUGGGAGGCGGAGGUUUCAGUGAGCCAAGAUUGUGCCAUUGCACUCCAGCCUGGCGACAGAGUGAGACAGAGUGAGACUCCGUUAAAAAAAUAAUAAUAAUAAAUAAGAAAAGAAGGCAAGAUUCCAUUAACUUCCAGAAGGUAGACUGUCUUAAAUAUUGGGCAAUUCCCUUUCCUCCUCUCGGCCUCAGCUUUCCCAUCUGAAAAAUGGGAGUAGGACAAGGGAACUGGAUCGCAGGCAUUGACAUAACUUUCUGUGGUUAUUAAAUAGGGCCCCACAAAGACAGUGUCGGGGACCAAGGAGCUCAGGCCGCCUGCCCCACCUUUGCCACCUGCAAGACUGUAUACUCCAGCCAGUAAGGACCUCACUGUUCUCACUCACUAGUGUGUCCUCAGUCCCAGCCCAGGGACUCUGGCUAGGGGCUGACACUUAAUAAAUCCAUGUGAAUGGAUGCAGGAACUCUGCUCCGAUCUGUUCUAUCUGCUUAGUUUUUGCAUACAAUUUUGUUUGAACAAAGAACCACGUGGUUUAUCUAUCAGUCAGGGCUCAGCAGGAAACACAUGGCACAUAUAUAAUUGGGAUAAUUUGAGGAGAGUUUAGUAAAGGAAUUGUUUACAAAGGUGUGGGCAGGGUGUAGGGAACCCACACAGGAGGGUAUAACUGGGGUCUAGUGUCAGCGGGCGCCAUCAUCAUUCCUAGGCCAGAUGAGGGAAGGUUAAGAGUUAAUGGCCGGGCGCAGUGGCUCAAGCCUGUAAUCCCAGCACUUUGGGAGGUCGAGGAGGGCGGAUCACAAAGUCAGGAGAUCGAGACCAUCCUGGCUAACAUGGUGAAACCCCGUCUCUACCAAAAAUACAAAAAAUUAGCCGGGCAUGGUGGCGGGCGCCUGUAGUCCCAGCUACUCGGGAGGCUGAGGCAGGAGAAUGGCGUGAACCCGGGAGGCGGAGCUUGCAGUGAGCCGAGAUCGCGCCACUGCACUUCAGCCCGUGUGACAGAGCGAGACUCCGUCUCAGAGAAAAAAAAAAAAAAAAAAAAGAGUUAAGGGGAGAAGGUGACGAGGUAGACAAGAUCCUUGGCUGAGACCUUCAGUGAAGGGAUGCAGCCAAUCCUCAGAGACCCUGGCAGGCAGGAGCAGGGGGAAUAAGUACGCUGACUCCAUCUCCCCUUCCCCUGAUUUCCUUCUGGGCCUCCAGUUGGCAGAACCAAAUCGGAAGGCGGAGGGCAAGACAGUCCAUUGAAGUCCACAUGGGGAGAAGGGUGGAGAGGCAAUGUGGGGGUUGCGGGGAGCACCAAAAGAAGAUGCCCGACAGAGAUGGCUAGCACCCCCGCCCCCACCGCACAACACACUCACGACACACUCACGACACACUCACGACACACUCACGACACACUCACAACACAGGACCAGAGAGCAGAUCUCUACUUUCUAAGGAUCUUUUCAGGUCUGACCUGCAGAUUCUUCCAUUUUAAAUCAAGGCUAAAAUAUAUUGAGGCUUACUGAGGUCUAGUGGCAGCUCGGAGUUAUCAGUGGGUUGGGUAGUGCUUGCUGCUCUGGAACUAAUGGCACAAUUUUAUUGCAUUUAGGUCAAAUUGUGCCUCAAUUCCAAUGUCGUAUUUUUGGGUCAUGGGUCUCCUCUCUCUUUCUUUUCUAAAUGUGCCCGAGUAUUCCUCCUGGUCCUUUGGGAUGCUGACAGAGGAGCAGAUAUGCAGCAUCUCUGCCAUGAUAUAAGGGCUGCUGCAGUGCACAACUGUCUCCCAAGAAGGUACCGCAGGGGUGUAAAACUUCUCCCUGCAUUGUCAACGCUGGUCUCCAUGGAUGUCUGCUGGCUUUUUCAAAAAUUCUUGUAGAACAGUGCUUCUCAUAUGGUGAUUUUGUCCCCCUUGCCCCAGGGGGACCUUUGGCCAUGUCUUGAGAUGUUUUUGGUUGCCGUGAUUGAGGAGGUGCUACCAGCGUCUGCUGGGCAGAGACCAGGGAUGCUGCUCCACAUCCCACAAUGCACAGGACAAUCUUCUCUACAGCAAUGAAUUAUCCAGUUCACAAUCUCAAUAGCACCAAUAUUGAGAAACCCUGUUGAAGAUGGAGACUAUCCACGGGGCAUUGAUCUUGGGGUCUCCCCCUUCCUGAAUACUUGAAGUCCCUCGGCAGACUCUUGGAUACCUCCAGCAAUGGGGAGCUCACCACCUGUUUUGAAGCCAGGCAGGUUUGGGCUCUUCUUGUAGCUGUGUGACUCUGGAUUUUCCCAUAGGUGGGAGUGGAUCCACCACCUUGAGCUUCAGUUUCCUCCAGUGCCAUGGGAUUAGCAGCAGCCCUGCCUCACAGAUUGCGUGAGGAUGAAAUGAGAUGAUGCUCCUGAGUUGGCUGGUGCAGUGCACGGUACACAGAGAGUGCUCAAUAAAUGUUCCCUGCUGUGAAUGCCCUGUCCUGGUUCACUCGCCUACAUUGCGGAGCAGAGGAACUUCAGGGUUUCUUUUGUCUCCAAAAUUUCAGGAUUCUAGAGAGAUGAAGCACUGAGUGAAGAAUAAUGUGUAGGUCUUUGGGAGAACUUUCCCCUUAGGGGUUGUUCCUCUGCAAUGUUUGCUCAUGAACAUUUUGGGUGAAUCAUCUCUGUGGGUGUUGGAAGGAGACCUUCUAGCAUAGUUUUAUGAUAGUCUGUGAAGGGAAAAUCGGAAUUCCUAAAGAAGGAAGCAGUGGGAUGUCAGUUAAGUUGGGAAGCUGAUGGCUCUCAGGGCCACCAUUCAUCACAUUUCAUUGAGGGGCAGCUCUACUUGGCUGCCAAAGGGUGGGCCUGGGACCCAGCAGGGCCUAGCUUGGGAGACUGGGGUUGGUGGGAUGCGAGAGGGGGAAUGGCCAUCCCAGAUGUGUCCAAACAGCUGGGUCCAGAGAGCCCUGUACCCCUGGAGGAAUUGCUCAGCACUCUCUAUCUGCUCCCCCAAAUGCAUAACUCUGGAGAGUGUAGGGCUUGGAGAAGAAGUAUGCGUGGGGCUCAGGCCCAAGUCCAUGGACUUUGAGAAAUGACGCUUCCCUUCAUUCUCAUAAUUGCUUAAAGCUCUCCUUCUGUGCAGGCUCCAUGCUCAUUCUCUCAUCUGGUUCUAUAAUUAUCCCAUUUAGUGGAUGAAAAGAUUAAGGCCCAGAGAGGUGAUGCCCCUUUCUGAGGUCACACGAAUGAGAAGGGGCAUGGCUGCGACUCAUUCCAGGUGGCCGGGCUCCAGAGCCUGCUCCUGUGUCUCCCGCUCUGCUGUGCUGGUUUCUCCUGCAGAGCCUGCCUGUGGCUUGGGUAUCAGCAUGCACCUCAGCCCUCCUCCAUCCAUUUCCCCUUAGCCUGGAAUCCUCCAAUCUACGCGAGAAACCAAAUGUUAACAACAUUUAAUCUCGCCUGGAGAUUAGUGAUAAUUUGUGGCCUCACCAAGGUGGGGAGAGUUAUUAUUCAAAGUAGAUAUAAAGUCAGGAAUGUAAGAUACAAGGCAGUGUGACCAAGGGCAUGGAACCUGUGGAGCAGAGGAACAUGGCGGGGAUGGACAGGCCAGGGGGCCCAGACCUGUGGAAAGGAGUUACUCAACACUUCACAUUUACCUGCUAUUCCCUAGGACAGGGACCUGUGGGUUUUUGAGGGGCCAGAUGGAGGAAUGUGGGAAGUGUGGGUUUAUGGGGAGGAUGUGUUCCCUGAGGAGACAAGAGAACAAUGAGAGAUGAGAGAGAGAAUCCAGGAAGAGAUGGAAGAAGGGGAGUAAAGAGGGGAGGGUGAGGGGGAAAAGGAACAGAGGGAAGAGAUGAUAAAUAAAGGUGACCAUGACUGCACUGAGCUCCUGUUAUGGGAUGGAUGCUAUACUAAACACUUGCAUGCAUUACCUUGCGUCCUUAGGACAAUGUGAUAAUGCAGAUUCAUUUAUUACCAUUCUACAGAUCAGAACGUAGAUUCAAGUGAGUUUCCCCAAAUUCGAGAACUAGCCAGUAACAAAAGCUGUGAUUCAAAUCCAAGAUCAACACACCAGGGGAGAGAUUUCUGCUUUUCCCCACUUGUCUUAGUCUGUUUGAGCUGCUAUCAGAGAAUACCUGAGACUAAGUAAUUUACAUGCAGAAACUUAUUGCUCACAGCUCUGGAGGCUGGGAGGACAACAUCAAGGUGCUGGCAGGCUUGGAGAUUCUGAUUCCAAGAUGGUGCCUGGAAUGCUGCAUCCUCCAAACGUGGGGAACAAAACACUUCAUCUUCACAUGGCAGAAGGCAAAAAAGAGGCAAAAGGGAGCCAAAGUCAUCCUUUAUAAUGGCAUCAAUCCAACUCAUGAGGGCAGAACCCUCAUGACCCAUCCACCUCCCAAAGGUCCCAUCUCUCACUACUGUUCCCAACAGCAGUUAAAUUUCAACACGAGUUUUGGAGGAGACACACAUUGAAACCCUAGCACCACUGGAAGGUUUUCUCCUAGGGUGUGUUUGAAGGAGCGUAGGAUAUGGGGGUGAAGUGACCUGGGUUCAAGUUCCACCCCUGCCUUGUGUGCGCUCACUGGGCAGCAAUGGGGCUGAUGAAGUUCUCAAUGGGGCCAAUGGAAUUCUCAAUGGAGCCAAUAAAGCCAGUCCCUGGGAGGUAGCUCCCUGCCUCUUGUGCGCUAGGUAACCUUGGACCUAUUCCGUCAACCAUCUGAGCCUUAUAUUCUUCGCCUAUUAGAAAUAAUAACAAGAUAAACCUUCACAGGGUAGUUGUGAGGACUAAGUCAGCAGAUCCUCGGGAAAGUGGUGUCUACAUUUUAAAGUGUUGUGCUUGUGCAAGGGUUUCUAUUCAUCAUCACUGUUUCUGGUUUCUAGAACCUGGGUUUUCCCCAGGCUCCCCGAGGGGCAAGAUCAACCCGAUAACACAUAUUACCCUGCAGGUAGCAGCCCUGUAUCUGCAGCCCGCUCUCAUUUCCACCAGCCGGAGUUGCUACUCAUUGUAGCAACCAUGUGUUUCUUUCCACUGCUGGAGCCUCUGGUGUCCCCUGCUGCGCCACUGUCCUUGUGCCCUAUCAUCCCAGACCUGCUUUCUGCCCUCCUGAGACUGCAGGUCUGCAUGGAUCCCCUAGGUUGCCUUUUCUACUUUGUGUGAUUUUUAUACUUAUAGCUCUCAAUAUAGUUAAUUCUACAUGAGACUGUAGGGUCCCAUGUCCUGGUUGUCGUACAUCUUCUAAAUAGGUGGCCACGGUAAAGAGCUUAUAUGGUUUCUUCACUUGCUCACCAUUAACUGAUUCACUUAUUUAUCUCUUUGGUUAUUUGUGCAUCUAUCCAUCUAAUGGUCAUCUCCUUUAUUCCAGCAAUAUUCAACAGACUUUUACUCAGCAUUUACUAUGUACAGUUGCUGAACAGAUAAAUACAAUAACUGCCUUUUUCUUUUGAGUCAGGGUCUCACUCCGUCACCCAGGCUGGAGUGCAGUGGUGCAAUUAUGGCUUACUGCAGGCUGGAACUCCCAGGCUCAAGCAAUCCUCCCACCUCAGCCUCCCAAGUAGUCAGGACUACAGGGGCAAACCUCUAUACCUGGCUAUUUUUUUUUCAUUUUUUAUCUUUUAUAAAGACAGUGUCUUUCUGGGUCAUCCAGGAUUGUCUUGAACACCUAAGUACCAUUUUUAAAAUGUGGUAAGAUACAUAUAACAGGAAUGUCACCAUUUUAACCAUUUUUAAGUGUACAAUAUAGUGGCUUCAAUUACAUUCAUGAUGUUGUGCAACCCUUACCACUAUCUGUUUCCAAAUCUUCACCCCAAACAGAAACUCUGUACCCAUUAAGCAACAAUUUCUCAUUCCUCCUUACCACCGCCCCCCCCAGUCCCUGGUAACCUCCAAUUUACAUUCUAUCUCUGCAAAUUUGCCUAUUCUAGAUAUUUCAUGUAAGUGGAAUCAUACAGUAUUUAUCUUUUGUGUCUGGCUUAUUUCACUUAGCGUAAUAUUUUCAAGGUUCAACCAUGAUGUAGCAUAUACCAGGACAUCAUUCUUUUUAUGGCUUAAUAAUAUUUAAUCGUAUGUAUAUAUCACAUUUUACUUACCCAUUUAUCUGUCAAUGGACACUUGAGUCAUUUGCACCUUUUAGCUAUUAUGAAUAAUACUGCUCUGAACAUUUGUGUACAAGUAUCUGUUUGAAUGACUAUUUCCAAUUCUUUUGUGUGUAUACCUAGAAGUGGACAUUCUGGGUCAUAGCAUAAAUCUAUGUUGAAAUUUUCGGGGGACCAAUAGCUGCCAUUUGUCAGCACUUACGAUGAGUCAGACAUUGAGUUUUAUACUUUAUUCACAAUGUAAUCUAAUCCUAUGAUAGCCCCUCAAGGAACUUAUCAUCAUCCCUCAGAUGAAGACACUGAGUUGAAGAGAGUGUAUCAGCCAACUAUUGCCGAGUAACAAACCACCCCCAAAUCCAGUGGUUCACAGCAGCCAUCACUUAUUCUUGCUCACACAUUUGCAAGUUGGCUUAGGGCUGGUUUGUCAAGGCUGGGCUCUGCAUGGGGAGCUCGGCUGAGGUGGCUCAGCUCCACAUGCUUCUGAACCUCCUGGGAGCAGAAGGCUGGCCUGAGAAUGUUCUUCUUAAGGCAGGAGUGCAGGAGAAUGGAUUAAAGCCUGCAACACAUCUUUUAAAACAGGCAUCCUGUCACUUACUCCUCAUUCUAUUAUCUAAAGCAAGUCUUAUGCCCAAACCCACAGUCAAAGGGCAGGGAAAUAUGCUCUGCUCCUUUAGUGGGAUAAAUUGCAAAGUCACAUGGCAAAGAACACAGACAAAGGAGGGAAUAAAGAGCUGGGGCCAAUAAUAUGACCUAGCACAGGGAUAUUCAUGAUUCUCCUAAGAUCAGAAUGUGUGUGGGCUAGGGCCAGAAUUCAACCUGAAGCCACUGGGCUCCAACUCCCAAACUGUUCUGAUUUUAUCUCUUUGCUUUACAAAGACAGAACACUGAAGAUUCUGCUCUCAGGGUGUUGAUUGACGUCUGGAAGGCAGAGACUCGUGGAUUAGCAAGCAUGUGUAAGAAAGUGCUCUGGAUGCCACAGGGUGGUAAUUUGUGCAUGGAAAAUGGCUGGGGUGAAGAGGAGACUAGGGUCUCACAUGAGUACUUCACAAUGGGGAAACUGAACUGGAACUCUACUGACAACGCAGUUGGGCAAGUAUAGUUUCCAGGCUCUAUCUAGCCUCAUGAUACAGGGGAGUAUGUGGCAGGAAGCAGCAAUGGCACUGAGAUGCCAACAGUCCAGCUCCCUGUGCAGGGUCACCCCACCUCCCCAGAGGUUUUCUAACUGUGCUUGGGGUCCCCAAGGAAUGUAAGGAACUACAAGAGGCCAACAAUGAGGUGCACAGAAUUUCAUGUUCACUUCCUACUUUCAACAUGAUCAGCUCAACCCAUUGUACUUAUUGGAUUUUAUUUGAAAAAAAUUUCACACACAAAGUUUGACUGUCAUUAGAUCACAGCACACUGGCUGAAGAGUGUUAAAGAAAAAAUUAUUCUGACAUAUGUGAAAACAGGAAGACUUUAUUUAGGACUAUCUUGUUGGGUAUCAAGAUGAUUGCAAUAGGCGAGAGAGAUCAGGUUCAACUUCAAAUGCAACAACUGAAGAUAUAUGAUCAAGGGUGGCGGGUUAGGGAAAGGGUAAGUGGAUGGAAAAUUACUAAGAGGGGAGAUCAAAUGGAGGAAUUCUUGCCGAAGACAGUCCAAGGUGAACAGAUAUCACCUGGGGGACAGUGGAAAGAUGAGGGAUUUGACCAGAUAUGAAUGAUGAGCAGACAGCGGGGUGGGGGAUGGUUCUCCCUAAACCAACUUAGCAGGAUUCUUACUACAACUGGGCUAUGUAGGCUCAGCAAAGGCAGGUGCCAGGGUCAAGGCUUAGCCAAGAAGAGGGUUCAGAGGGGCCUGACUGGAGCUUGGUUAAGGAGAGAAUCUUUGUCAAGGGACAAGUGUAGCUUCAUAAAAGGACAACAUGGAUUCCCCAGUCGGUUUAUAUGAACCAAAGGGAGGCACAGACCAUCUUGCCUUGUCUUCUCCAUCAUUUAGGAUCCCAAGCACAAAUCUUGCUUCUCUUCCAGCUUGCAGUCCUCAUGCAAAUAGAUGCCCGAGGGUAGAGCAGGCCUAACAUGCCAAAUUUCCACUCUUAGGCUCUGCUGAGAUCUACAGUCCUGUGGGAUUUCUUUUUUUUAAAUGAUUCUAUGGUUUUUAGUAUUCUUUGAUUCUUUAGCACUAUAUCCUCAACUUCUAUAGCUCUUCGAUUUUGCAUUUCUUUGAUUCUGAGAUAUGAUUAUCUGGGGACAUGGACUCUCUGGCUCAAUUAUUUCAAGAAAUAAUCUUUAUUCUUUUUUCUGGAUUAAUGUUUGAUUAAUGUGUCUAAGCUCCUCCUGUGAGACAAUGGUUCAUACCAGGGUGGGACAUCAGCAGGAGCAAGGGGGAUGGUGGGGGUGCCGCUGACUAAAAAGGUCUCAUAUAUUGGCUGUGUCCAAGGUCAAAACCAAAACCCGAGCAACCACACCUGGUAUCAGGCAUUAGGGGUCAGUAUGUGACCAGGAGAGCCAGAGGGUGCCAGGUGAUUAAAAGUCGGUGUAUGGAGGAUGGAGUGGGAGAUGAAGGGCAAUGAAUGAAAAUGAAGCAAACAUCAUAUGUUUGAUAUGGUGAAAAGGAUGCUAAAAUUCCUCCCAUUGAGUUUGGGCAAAUCCUAUGGUUCUCUGUGAUAAGCCCUUUCUAUCCCCUUUCCCUACCAAAUCUUCCUGCUACAUUACACUCUGCUCCCUACCAGGGAGCUAAAUAGCAACCUGUGUAUUUCAUCUAGGUCGGUUACUUAACAAUCCUAAGGAAACUAUUUGAAUUUAAAUGACUGCCUUCUAGACACAACACAACAAUGAUAGCAAUAAAAAUAAUGACUUGUAAAUUAGUCAGCAUCAGCUGGGCUGCUGUAACAAACAACCCCAAAUCUCAUAAACAAACGUUAGUUUUCACCCCUCUGAAGUCCACUGUGGGCCUAGGCAGCUAUGGUCCAUGUGGUGACUCAGUGAUCCAGGCUUUUAAAAUUGUGUGCUUCUGCACUGCAAUUUGAGGACGCCUCAUUUGCUGUGUCAGGGGAGGAGAGAGAUUGGAAAACCUCAUGGGGACUGUACACUUCCUUGGCCUGAAGCGAUGCUCAUCACUUCCAUUCACAAAGCCAGUCAUAUGCCCCUUUAGCUGGAAGAGGGUAGGGAAAGCUAGUUUUCUGUGCAUCCAGGAAGGAUGAAUAUAAAACAGCAUUUAGUGAACACGUAAUUUUCUCUGUGUUGCAACGACCACUUCUUUUUAAAUAGGUACCACAAGACAAUUACUCUGCAGCGAUUUAUUUAAAUCAUCUCAAAGAUCCUUACAGGUGAGGAAACUGAGGCUUGGAGAAGUUGAAUGACUUGCCUAAAGUCACACAUAUAAUGGUAGAUCCAGAAUUAGAAGCCGUGGUUCUGUUUCACCAUAACCUGUGCCCCUCACUGUUCAGAUGAUGGAUCCUCAGACUCCGGGGGAGCUGUGGGGUAACUCCCUCCACCCUUCAGCUACAGCCUGGAAACCAUUGCCUUUUCUGCUCAUUGCAGCCAGGCCUGGAUCCAUGUGAGGAAACACACCUGCUGCCUCGGGAAUCCCAUACCAGUGAUGUGACACUCACAAAAGGCGAUCAAUGGUUCCUGACAAUUUUUUCUUUUCAUUUAGGCAAAAAAUAUGGAAAGCAUAUUUGAUCUUUGAUUUUCUUCCAUUUCCCAUCUGUUCUUUAUUAGGAGUUCAAACUUAAUAACCUUCCAGAGUUGGUAUCAAAUUCAGACGCUGACGCUCCUUGGAGAGGUUCUUUGCUGCAAGAGGAUGGAAAGGAUCACUGUGAUUUUGUUUUUCUCCUGCUGCUCUGUCUGGAAGCCAUGUGAGGAGGACAUCUGAGCAGCCCUGUGGAGAGGCCCCCAGCCAACAGCCAGCAUGAACUUGCUGGGCAUGUGAGUGCACCACCUUGAAAGUAGAGCCUCAACCCCUGGUCAAGCCAUCAGGGAGAGCUCAAGCUGGCCUGUUGGAAGAUGACAGGCCAUAUGCAACAGACGUGAAGUGUCCCAGCUGAUCCCCUUCCAGAACACCCACCUUCCAGAUGACCACAGAUGCAAGGGUGCCAAGCAAGGAGGACCAGACGGCUAACGCUUAUAUCCUGACCUCCCGAUGGCUUGCAGGUAAGUGUUUUUAAACGCAGGGGUAAAUGUCGGGAGAAGCUAUAGGCAAGAUUGUAAAUCCAUACAUGGAGGUUACACCUUGGUCUUGGCCAAAAAGGGCAGGAUACCUUGAAGCAGAGGCUUACAGGUCAUAGGUAGAUUCAAAGACUAUCUGAUUUGUAACUGGUUAAGGAAGAGAAGCUUUGUUUAAAAUUUGGGGUCAGCAGAGAAGAACAUUAACUGGCUUUGGGGUUUGACUCUCUCCAGACUCCUCAGGAAGAAAUUUAGAACAAAAAAUGGGGGUCAGAGUUCAGCCAUCAGCUCCCCCUUAUCUGAGGUUUAGGUGACAGCAGAGCUGUUCAGUGGGGGUCAUUGGUGGGGGUUCAGGGUUCUGGAAAACAACUCAGGGGCAUAUGUUAAGAUGUUACUUUUAGUUUCUAUAGGGGAAUCAAACAUCUGACUAACUUCCUUGGUUCCUGUCUUAGCCUUGUUACUAUUACCCUCUUGCUUAUCAAGCUGCUUUUCUUUUCUUUUUUUAAGACAGGAUCUCACUCUGUCAUCCAGGCUGGAGUGCAGUGGUACUGUCUCAGCUCACUGCAACUUCCACUUCCUGGGUUCAAGCAAUUCUCCCACCUCAGCCUCCCGAGUAGCUGGGAUUACAGGUGCCCGCCACCACGCCCAGCUAGCUUUUGUAUUUUUUAUAGAGAUGGGGUUUCACCAUGUUGGCCAGGCUGCUCUUGAACUCCUGGCCUCAACUGAUCCACCCGCCUCGGCCUCCCAAAGUGCUGGGAUUACAGGCAUGAGCCACCACAUCCAGCCUCAAAUUACUUAUUUACCUCUUAGGGCUAGCUAGGUGCCUGGAAUUUCCCUUGAAGGAACUCGGAAUUUUCCUCUAUUUCCAUUCUUGGUGGCAGGGGCAUGCAGACCGCCAAAAGGGGGUCCUGCUCCGUCUCAGUGUGUUCCUGUCACAGACUGAAGGCCACACUGAGAAACUGAGUGUAGUGAGCCAGACGUGGUGAGAAACGAAAUCACAGAGGACAUGGGGGCACAGGGCCUUGGAGACUCUCACAGGUACUCUGGACGUCAUACAAACAGGCCAUCAGAGGUUUCUGUGCAGGGGAAGGAGAUACUAGGUCUUAAACAGGCCCCUCUGCUCAUCCACGUUAUAGUGUACAUCAGAACUCCACUCUUUUUAAAAAAUUUUUUAAAUUUUUUAUUUUUUUGUUUUUUGAGAUGGAGCUUCACUCUUGUUGCCCAGGCUGGAGUGCAAUGAUACAAUCUCGGCUCACUGCAACCUCUGCCUCCUGGGUUCAAGCGAUUCUCCUGCCUCAGCCUCCCUACUAACUGGGAUUACAGGCAUUCACCACCACACCUGGCUAAUUUUGUAUUUUUAGUAGAGAUGGGGUUUUGCUAUGUUGGUCAGGGUGGUCUUGAACUCCUGACCUCAGGUCAUCCGCCCACCUCAGCCUCCCAAAGUCCUGGGAUUACAGGCAUAAGCCACCGCGCCUGGCCUUUAAUUUUUUUUUAAGUUCUGGGUACAUGUGCAGGGUGUGCAGACUCGUUGCAUAGGUAAACGUGUGCCAUGGUGGUUUGCUGCACCUAUCAACUCAUCACCUAGGUAUUAAGCCCAGCAUGCGUUAGUUCUUUUCCCUAAUGCUCUCCCCCACCCCGCCCUUCCCCAACAGGCCGCGGGAAAUGUUGUUCUCCUCCCUGUGCCCAUGUGUUCUCAUUGUUCAGCUCCCACGUAUAAGUGAGAACAUGUAGUGUUUCGUUUUCUGUUCCUGCAUUAUUUUGCUGAGGAUAAUGGCUUCCUCUUUAUCUAGUCUACCAUUGAUGGGCAUUUGGGUUGAUUUCAUGUCUUUGCUAUGUAAGUAGUGCUGCAAUGAACAUACGCGUGCAUGUAUCUUUAUAAUAGAAUGAUUUAUAUUCCUUUUUGUAUAUAUUCAGUAAUGGCAUUGCUGGAUCAAAUGGUAUUUCCGGUUCUAAAUUUUUGAGGAAUUGCCACACUGUCUUCCACAAUGGUUGAACUAAUUUACCUUCCCACCAACAGUGUAAAAGCGUUCCUAUUUCUCCGCAACCUCACCAGCAUCUGUUGUUUCUUGACUUUUGAAUACAUGCAGCCAAACAUACGAAAAAUAGCUCAACAUCACUGAUCAUUAGAGAAAUGCAAAUCAAAACCACAACGAGAUACCAUCUCAUGCCAGUCAGAAUGGUGAGAACUCCUCUCCUUUUUAAGACUGAGUAAUGUCCCCUUGUGUGGGUAUACCACAGUCUGUUCAUCCCUUCACUCACUGACGGACAUGUGGGUUGUUUCCAGCUUUCGGCCGUUGUGAAUAGUGCUGCUGUGAACAUGGGUGUACACAUGUUUGUUUGAGUCCCUGUUUUCAGUUCUUUGGGGUAUAUACCUAGAAGUGGGAUUGCUGGGUCAUGUGAAUUUCACUUCCAUUAAUAAUAAUAAUAAAAGCUUCCUCUGGCUAUAGGGGCCACAAAGAGGAGGCCCAACCAGCACACCCCUGAGCAAGCUGGCAUUAAAAUCCCAUCUCCCAGUUGCCUAACUGGAAGUCACCCUGAAAGGAGCAAACACACUCCCUGGGGCAGGAACUUUCUAGUCUUGGCUGAAAUGUGCUCCAUCCCAAGUGCCCAUCCACCCUCAUCCUCCAGACACUGGCAGGCAGCCGCCCCGAGAGGAUUGGAUGUUCCCCGUGCUGCGGUGGCAGUAGGAACAGGCCGUUCAUCAGUGUCUCGGGGUCUGGAAAGCCAGUCUGCACCUCCGUGUCACCGCCACCCCCUGCCAGGGAGUGUGUGUGGUGUAUGUAUUAGCAGGUAAACUGCCCCCCAUAAUGGAGAUGGAUGGGAGCCCAAUUUUGUAACAGAGAACCUUUCAUUAAGAAAACCACUGCCUUUGGAUGAUCUAGAGGCACUCACAGGCUGGCCCCAGCCUGGGACUUAAUUAUCUUACCACUAAUGAGCUGCAGUUACCAGCUUGUUGGGGCAUCUCAGCAACAACAACCGCCUGGCCUUGGGCUCCUUUUCCCCACUGUGGGCCUCGGGUGACAUGGGUAGAGAUUGUAGAGGAUGCGCCAGCUGGGAAGGUCACCAUGAGAAUCACUUCCUAAGAAUGGUCUCUGUCUUCCUGAAGUUCAACAGAGGUGUCUGCAGCAGGAGAGAGGAAAGUAGACAGGUGGAAGUACUUUCUGAUGAGGUGGCCUGGAAAAUGCUUACAUGGGGGCCCUGAGCCUUAACUAUGUCUGUGUCCAUCUCUAGGCCCUAGUAUCCUCCUAGGGUGGAACCACGACGAGAGAGGCCUGGGUUAGGUGAGAAAGGCAGGGAUAGAAAUAUAUUAUAUGCAAGAGUGUCUGUUAUACAGAAGGACUUGUUCUCCUCCCAGCUGUUUGCCUGAUUGAUUCCUGCUGGUCUCAGGGGACGUGCUGCUUCCCCAGGGAGCUCUGCCGAGACUUUACUCUCCACAGUAGAAAACCUCCCUCAUCUCUCCCUGGCACGUCUCCCUGUUUAUAUCCUUUCCAGCUCAUCCUGUCUAUGAUUACCUUGUUUAUUAAUGCAUUUAAUUGUUUACUGUCUGGCUCCCGAGUUUCUGUCCUCUUCAUACCGGCGGGGUCCUCAUCUCUUGCAAACUCUCUACCCUUAGUGCCUAGAAACAUGCUUGGUACAUUGUUGAUGCUCAAUACAUAUUUGUGGAAUGAAAGAAUGAAUGAAUGAACUGUUGAUUAUUUCUGAGAUAUAGAUGUAUUAAUAGCUCAGAGUAGCAUAGUGCCCUUUUUAAAGUUUUUUUUUAAUUGUGGUAAAUUAUACAUAACAUAACCUUUACCAUUUGAAUGUGUAGAGAUUAAAGAGGAUGUGGAGGCUGGGAGGAUCAUCAUGAGGGCCACUUUCUAAGAAUAGCCUCUCUCUCCCUGAAGAUCAAAAGAGGUGACUGCAGCAGGAGAGAGGAAAGUUAGACAGGGGUAAGUACUUUCUGAUGGGAGGACAAAGCCAUCACCAGUGUCCAUCCAUAGAGUUUUUUCAUCUUCCCCAAUGGAUAUUCUAUACCUGUUAAACUCUCACUCCCCAUUUCCCCUGCCCCAGCUCCUAGUAACUUCUAUUCUACUUUCUGUCUCUAUAAAUAUGACUCCUCUAGGGACCUCCUAUAAGUGGAAUCAUGCAAUGCAAAAGUAACUUACUGAGCCUUCUAGUCUGGCGAAGCACCCAGCAUUUUGCCCUGCGUGGAGUCAAUCCGUCAUUUUGUGCCUGAUGUCUCUUACUUGGCAUGAUGUCAUCCAGGUUCACUUGGUUUAGCAUAGGUCGGUACUUUACUCCUUUUUAUGGCAGAGUAAUAUUCCACUGUAUGGAUAAACCACAUUGGGUUUAUCCAUUCAUCCACUGCACAGUGCACUUCUGAGAGAAGACGGGUAGAUGGUGCAAGGUGGGGAAUUAUAUAUUUCUGUUUUGGAAACUUCAGAGUAAGAGAGAGCUUUCCCAUCCAGUCACGUCUCGUGCCUAGUGCUAUGUCCUUUGUGUGCUGGUGACACUAACUUGCUUUACACCUCCAUGCCUUUCCCUAUGCUGUUUCCUGUGCUUGAAGCACCCUUCCCACUGGCCCAUUGUUGGCCUGACAAGUCUCAUGUCGGCUUCAGGGUGAAAACCUCAAUGAAAGUGGAAAUUACAUCUGUUUUAUUCACCUCUGUAUUUCCAGAUCAUUAGAUGCCAUACAUACAGAUAAGCAUGCAUGAGUGAAUAAGUCAUUCCAAGCUACACUCCUCCAGAGGGUCCUCCUUGACUGUACCUCAUGCUAUGGAGCUAAUGCUGGCUGUUUUCGAGUCAGCCACCACACUCAUUGAUUGAUGCUGUGUUUGUCUCUCCUAUUAGACUAUGUGCUCCUUGAGGACAGUGCUUGUGUCUUACUCAUUUUUGUGCCCCUCCCUUGUCCUAUAAUAUACCCAGUGUAGGUAUCUAUUGAAUAAUGCUGAAGGUUGUGCACAGAUGUCAGCUGUUAUUAUCUUCCUUCCCCCUGCCACCCCACCCCAGCUACCUGGCUUCAGGUGGUCUUGUCUUCAUCUCAGCAGGGACUGGGAGCUUAUGCUGUCAGUGACUUGCUGCACAGUGCUAUGAUGUGGAAACCUCCUGCUAUAACUAUCGUAUAACUUCUUACAUCUUUGUGGCACUCAGAUGUUCCUUAGCUUCCUCAAGUCUCCAACAGCCUACUGAUGGUUGACAGAAAAGACUGGCCAGGCGCAGUGGCUCACGCCUAUAAUCCUAGCACUUUGGGAGGCCAAGGUGGGCGGAUCAUGAGGUCAGGAGAUCGAGACCAUCCUGGCUAACAUGGUGAAACCCCGUCUCUACUAAAAAUACAAAAAAUUAGCCGGGCAUGGUGGCGGGUGUCUGUAGUCCCAGCUACUCGGGAGGCUGAGGCAGGAGAAUGGUGUGAACCUGGGAGGCGGAGCUUGCUGUGAGCCGAGAUUGUGCCACUGCACUCCAGCCUGGCAGCAGAGCGAGACUCCGUCUCAAAAAAAAAAAUAAAUAAAAAUUAAAAAGAGAAAAGACUAUGGGGUUCACUUUACAGGGUAGGAAACUGAGACUCAGAGAUGGGAAUGGCUUUGAAGUUUGUUAGUAACAGAUGGUAUGCCAGCACCCAGAUUGCCUACCCCUAGGUCCUGAUUUUCCCCUCUCUUCCAUUCUGGGGGAACUGCAUUUAUAAAAAGUUUAACAUUAGUAGUGAUAAGAACAACAAAAUCAAUAUGACUGGCAGCUAACUUGUUUUGAGCAUCGGUUCUGGUCUGGCACAGUGCUCACCAUUUUACAUAGCAUGGAGUCGGUAUGGGUCAGUUUCCCAAAUGUGCUUUUUUAAAGAACUGGAAACCCAGAGGCAUUUGAAAUAUGUGUCUUUUGAAUCAAAGAAACAUAGAGGAUUUGAAGAUGGAGGAGACCGCAUUUUAUUUUAUGGCCCUGGAUAAAGUCACUACGCCUAUCCCUCUGAGACUCAGUUAUCCCCAUCUGUAAAAUGGGUGGUUGGAUGAAAUGAACACUCGAGGUCUUCUCAGAGCUGACAUUCUACAGAUUCAUCAGUGAGUUUCCUCUGACUCUCCUUGAAUGUGACUUUGUCCAUUCGGAGGGCGGUCCUGGCAUCAGCAAGGGUGACGAUUGUUUCCUUCCUGGAAUCUUUGGAUUGCCAUGAGAGCGAGGAGCCACUCAGCAACAUGAGGAAGCCACAUGUGCCACAUUCUUCAAUGGCAGCAAUUUUCCGUGUAAUUAAGUUUAUUUAUCAUGUAUAUUAAGGGGAAAAUGGAGACGCAUGAUCAUCACAGCCCAUUUGCCAUCGACAUCCAUCUCUCAAGCGUUGCUUCUGUUUUCUCCAAGGCCAACAGCCAUGAUGGAUGUGGGGCCCAGGAGAGCCAUCUGGCACGAGGACUGGUGGGAACCCAGCCCCCUACAGGACCCAGGUCUCACCCCCUGGACAGAUGCUUCUCCCAAAACCGUCCCUGUCCUCAAGGAGCUGAUAACCCAGGAAUCGUGGUUAAUGGUGACAUUGGCUAACACUGGAUGUUGCUUUCCUUUAAACCUGCAGUUAGCUUUCUUCCAGCAGAAUGCUGAGAUAUUACUCCUGUGUUCACAUGUGGAAAUGCAGCAUGGCUGCACCAUUUCACCAUUUCUACCACUCUAAUCAUUGUAGCUUCCUCUUGCUCUCUUUUUAAGCUAAGCCUUAGCCUGGCUUCUUGUACCUAUAGGGAGUUCAAUUCAUUUACCAAUUCACUCAACAAAUAUUUGAGUGCUUCUCUGGUGGAAGACUACCAUUCCAGGCUUUUGGGAUUUAUCAGUGAACGGAAGAAAGACUUUCGGCCUCCUCAAGCUUACUUGGUGAAUAUUUUGGAAUCAAAAAAUGAAUAAAGGAGCAAGAACAUACGAAUCACUUCAGUUAUUCAACAAACAUUGAGUGCUUCCUGUGGACAGCACCUUGCUGAUCACACGUGGCUAAAAUGGGGCCCAAGCAGCUUCUUCUGUUUCCUCAUGGAGCUUACAUGCUAGAGGAGAAGGAAGACGUAAAUCAAAGAAUCACACCAAUGAGUUUCUAAGUACAAAAUGAGAUAAAGCACUAUGAGGGAAAGGGUGUUUUUCAGAGUAUAUGAGAAGUGCGUGUUCUAUACUGGGGGUGGGGAUUCAGGAAAACUUUUGGAGGGAGAGAUACUUAAACUGAAACCUGAGGCAAGGGUUUUCAUCAAGUGAGAGAAGGAAGUGCAGGGGCAUGGGGUAGAGGAAUAGCAUGAGGGCUCUAUCCGUUAGGAUGCCUUAGGCUGUCAGUGUCUGAAGACCUAACUCAAAAUGGUUUAAACCAUAAAGACAAUUUGUUACCAUGUCAUAAGAAGUCAGAAGUAGGUGCCAGGCGCGGUUGCUCACGCCUGUAAUCCCAGCACUUUGGGAGGCUGAGGCGGGCGGAUCAUGAGGUCAGGAGAUCAAGACCAUCCUGGCUAACACGGUGAAACCCAGUCUCUACAAAAAAAUACAAAAACAAAAUUAGCCAGGCGUGGUGGCGGAUGCCUGUAUUCCCAGCUACUCAGGAGGCUGAGGCAGGAGAAUGGCGUGAACUGGGGAGGCAGAGCUUGCAGUGAUCCAAGAUCACACCACUGCACUCCAGCCUGGGUGACAGAGAGAGACUCUGUCUCAGAAAAAAAAAAAAGAAGUAGGGCAGCUAGCUCCAGGGUUGGUUAAUUCAGUGGCUCAAUGACAUCAUCCAAGGUCAAGUUCUUUUCUGCCUUCUUUAGAGUGUGGGACAAAAUACUCAACAUUAUUUCUUCAGGGUCACUGAAUGGCUGCUGGAGUCGGCUCCCACAACAGCAUCUAAACCUAGAAGAGAGACUUCUGCUUCUCAGCCUCCUUUUAAAGAGAGAAGAAGCCUUUCUCAGAAUUCUCCCAGGACAUUUUUCAUUGUCCAGGACUGUGUUGGUUCAUACGAGCCAAUGGGGUUGGGAGGAAGCCUGUUGGGUGGAUGAGAGCAUCCUGGAAUCCAGGAUGACCUAGUCUGGAGCUAAGGAGACGUGGCUUGGAAUCUGAUAUGGUUUGGAUCUGUGUCCCCACCAAAUCUCAUGUCGAAUUGUAAUCACCAGUGUUGGAGGUGGGGCCUGAUGGGAGGUGAUUGGAUCCUGGAGGUUAAUUUCUUAUGAAUGGUUCAGAACCAUCUCCUUGGUGCUGUUCUCGUGAUAGUGAGUUCUCAUGAGAUUUGGUUGUUUAAAAGUGUGUAGCACCUUCCUGCACCUUGCUCCUGUUCCUGCCGUGUUCACACCUCCUCACUCCCCCUUUGCCUUUUGCCAUGAUUGGAAGCUUCCUGAGGCCUCCCCAGAAGCAGAAGCUGCUAUGUUUCCUGUACAGCCUGCAGAACCAUGAGCCAAUUAACCUCUAUUCUUUAUAAACUACCCAGUUUCAGAUAUUUCUUUGUAGCAAUGUGAAAACAGAUUAACACAGAAUCUCAGUUUUGAAGUCAAUUGGCUGUGUGACCUUAGGUAAGUCUCUUUCCCUCACUGGGUCCUAAGCCCCCAAUCUGAAAAACUAGAGGGUUGGAUUAAAUGGUCUGAAGGAUUGUUUUUCCAUGUGUAAGCUUCUAGGAUUCUAAAUGAGCCAUUGCUAGGGUGGGAGUUGGACAUGUUGUUCACCACAUUUUUGUCUUUCUGCCUUCUGGGCACGUGAAGCUUGCAUUUCCUGGCUGUCUUGCAGGUAGGUGGGGUUACGGUAUAGUUCUGGCCAAUGAGUUGAGCACAUGUUCCUGUCCAGGCUGGAGCAUUUGAUUCCAGGUUUGAGACUACAGAUUUCUCUUUCCCUCUGGCUAUGGCUAAUAUUUGAGAUGGUGACUGUGCCCUGUCAACCUGAGGCCCUGAGUGACAGUAAUGAGAGCCUCCCUUUUCCAUGCCAACCCAAUAGGCAUGCAACACAAGCAUGAAAUAAACGUAGGACGAUUUGGGGGUUACUUGUUACAGCAGCAGGAUGGAUCCUAUCCUGAGUGAUACAGUUAUGCUACUAACCAUGUAGCUGACACAAAAGGGGAAUUGACUCUGUGCUCGGCUGGGUGAAGCCCUUCACUUGCUUCUAUUUACCCCUCACAGCAGCCUUGUAGAAUGGGUGCAGUUAGCACCCCUAUUUCAAAAAUGAAGCAACAGAGGGGGAAGGCCAGCAGCUCAAGGUCACACAGCAGGGGAAGAGCAGAGCCAAGGAUUCAAACUCCAGUGAGUCUGACUCUGAAUCAUGAUGAAGCCAUAUCCUGCCUUGAUAACUUGGCAGAGGUUUUGUUCCAGGCUAAAGAAUGAACGAAGAGCUUGAAGAGCUGUGCCUGUGAGCAUGUGUAUGCAUGCAUGUGUGUGUGUGUGUGUGUGUGUGUGUGUGUGUGUGUGUGUGUGUGUGUGUUUAGCUGACUACCACACUUCACUUCAGAGUGAGAGAGGCCUUGGUGGGGGAGAAGGAGGGGCAUUCCCAGUCAGAAGAGAUUCCCAUCCUGCCCCAUCUUUCUCCCUGCAGACACCUCCUCCCCUCCCUGCAGCUUCCUCUGCCCCAAGCUCCCUGCAGGCCCUGAGCCAUCUCUGCCUUCUAUGAGACCUAAUUAAGCCCUGGUGAGGAGGUCGGAAGCAUCAGUUCCUGGCAGGCAGCUCCCUGGAGUGGGGAUAAUGGUGGGUGGCGCAUCCAUGGAUCCUGAGUAGGGUAGCAGAGAUGUCUACUAUAAUCAUAGUGACCAUAACAUCACCCUGCUAGCCUUAGGAAGAGCUGUAACAGUGGCUGCCAUUGUUACGUUUAUCCCCCCACUAGCCUGGCUCAGGGUUGCAAUAAGCAUUUAUGAAGCAUUCCCAGUUGACCAUUAGGAUCUUACUGGAGACAGAAUCCUUUCCUCUCUGCUCCAUCCUCAUCCACUCAUCUCAGUGGGAGUGUUUGAGGGGGGUGCCCCAGCUGGAAGAGCCCCAGACUUGGCCUUCAGUUCAACUCAUUGCCCUGCUUUACAGAAUAGGAGACUGAGGCCUCGGCAGGCCAAGUUCAAGGCUGGCCAGUGGUGGAGCUGGAACCAGAGGAUGUGGUGCAGGGAGGCGAACCCGGGUCCCUCUCCGGGCCCUUUGGGACUGUGGGUCAGUGGAGAUGGGGAGGCUGAGGCUGGAGAGGGCCAGCUCUCCCCAGGGGUCACUCAGGGGCUAUGGCUGGCCCUGGGCUACCAGAGGGUACGGGGUCGUGGAGGGCCAUGGUCCUGCUGAUGAGGCAGCCUUGGUGAGGGGCCAUGGAGCUGAACCCCGAGGCUCUGACUCCCCAACCUGCUUCUGGCAGCCGCCGCCUCAGGGAAAGCAGCCUUAUUAGUGCAGCCGCCUGCAUGGCCGUGGGUGCAGCCAGGGGCGGAAAAGGCCUUAUUUACCCCAGUGCUGGACCCUGUGAGCAGUGGCCACACACACUGCAAGGGGAGCUCGCAGAGCCACAUGUAUGUCUCGGGCCCUGGGUCGACAGAGUGUGCUUAGACAGGCUUGCAUGCUCAGGUAAGCCGGUUGGCCAGGCUUGUAUGCUCAGGUAAGCCGGUGUAUACAGAGACACACACAGGUGUGUGGUGACACACAACUGCAUGGACGUUCCCACAUCCACACAGCACGGGGCACACACAUAUGCAUCUGGGUGUGCAAACACAAGUUCAGACAUGCAUGCACGUGUGUUCCCCUCCUCCACUCACGUCCACACUCAUCUCUCUGCACACAGAGUCACACAACAGGUGCCCACGUACUCAGGAACAUAGAAAUCCACAGAAGCACAAAUAUAGACUUCACAUGCAUGUAUAAGCUCCUGCCUGUUCACCCAGACACAGGCUGGUAAACGUGUACACUGAGAAGACACACACAUGGGCAGGUCUCCAAAUACUACCCCUGCAGCCAGGAGCACACACACCCUGAACACACGCACAUAUUCCCUUGCCCUUUCCAUGGACAAGCACUCCCGAAAAGUAAUCAUUGACAUCGGCACACCGGUGCACACGGUGUGUGGACUCAUCUGUCUCUCUGUCUGUGCUAAGUUCUACUCAUCUUCCUGAGGAACAGCACUUGAUACAUUUUUACGGCACUGUCGCUGAACCCAAACCUCAUUUGAUUCCCCCAGCCUUCCCUGGGCCAGACUUUAUGUAUCUCCGUCUUACAGAUGAUGAGAAAACUGAGCUUCAGAUGGAGCAGGGGACUCCCCAAGACACCCCGAUAGACACAGAUGGCAUGGGCAGUCACAGUCAGAUGUCCUGACUGCAUCCCAGCAGGGGUAGGGUUGUGGGAAAUGGCACACAGGCCUAGGUUUGAAUCCCACUCUGCUGCUUACAGCUGGGCUGGGUGACCUUGGGCAGGUCUCUUUACCUCUCAGAGCCUUGGUCCUCCCGCAUCGAGACACGCAAACACCCACCGCCACUUGGUGGCGUUGUGCGGAAGGUGAAGGGAGAACAAUGCAGAGGACAGGCUCAGAGCAGGGCAUCCUGGAAGGAGUCAGCAGAUUCACCCAUCUUUAUUCUUAUUUCCAUAUUAUUAUUAUUAUUCACAUAGACCAUGUGAUGACAUAGACCAUCAACAGGUCAAGGACGGAGGCCUGUGACAGAUCCUUCUCCGACAGCCCCCCAAGGGAACCAAGUCUGCUGACACCUUGUUCAGGGACCUCUGGCCUCCAGAACUUCAAGACAACAAAUUCCUAUCACUUAACCACCCAGUAUAUUUUGUAUGGCAGCCCUAGCACACUAAUAGAGAUUUUGGUCUAUGACAUUUUUCUCUAUAGCAAAUCCAGUGGGUUACCAGCAAGGUCCAACUAUUUAUCACCCCUCACCCCGGGGCCUGGUGGGUCUCAGGUGAGGGGAGCCUGGCCUUUCUGGGAAGAACAGGACCUGCACCUGCCCGCGAGGAGUCCUGGGGAGCCGGGAUUCCCCAAGCACAGAGCACUGGCGUUGCCGCUGCGGAGACAGCCAGGCCCAUUCUAACAGUGACUUAGGGCUGAUGUAACAACCCUCGUAUUCUUUUAGUGUGGCCUGAAAGGUGCUAUUAAACGGAAUAUUGAGAUAAGGAAGUGGGAGUCGGGAAAGGUUAGAAACUAUUUAUUCAGAUUUUCAUAGGGCACUAAAAUAUCCUCACCCGCUGCUGCUCACGGCCCCUCCCUCCUCCCCAGCCUGGGCUCCCAGCACACAGGAAGCUCUGGGCUGUCACGCUGCCUCUCUGGCUGGCCGACCUCCUGUGGCAGCCUGGACCUGCGAAGAGCCUGGGUUCUGGGCGGGAGGGGAUCUGGGACCGAAUCUUACCCUGGCUUGCCGACCUGCACAUUAACCGAGCUUUGGAGCUUGGGGAAUGGUGGGGAACCAAGGACAGGGUGGGACGGUGCAGGGUGCAUAGCAAGGGGCAAGGAGGACCAGUGCCCCUCCUCUCUCCCCAGAGCCCCCCCCAGGCAGGAGUGGGAGGUUCACAGUGUUGUCUUCCCACUGCACGCCCCUUACAGCCCCCCAGCUCCUCCCUCUCCCAAAGUCAGAAUCCCAGGCUCACGGCUCUGCUGGCAUACCUCUGAUGGGAACCUGAUUACCUCCUGCAGAUUUUCUCUCCCUUCUCCUCGGUCCCUCAGGGAUCCUUCUGGAGGUAGAAGUCAACCCGUCUAACCAGCCUCCUCAAGAGGACCCCCAAAAUCUGGCAUUUAAAAUCCAGGGGAAAUCUCCCUCUUUCCUCCGCUGGAGAUCCUUGCGGGAGAAUGAUGUCCAGGGAGGUAGAUGGACUGUCAGCCCCACGAGGCAGGGUCUGUUGGUUUUACGCAUUGCUGCUUCCCCAGCUCUUAGCAGAAGGCCUGGUGCAUGGUGGGGCCACCAGAAGUGUUUGUGGCAGGCAGGAGCAGUGGAGAAAAACUAGGAUUUGGCAUGACACAGCUCUUGGUUCAAGACUGGUUCCUGUAACCUCCCUGAACCAGAGUGGUUUCAUCUGCACAGUGAGGACUCGAUGAGGCCGUGUAUGUAGAACUCUCUGCAUACGGUGGGCACAGAUAAAGGCUGGUGUUCUUCCUCCCCUAUGUCAGCCUCUCUCUUUUCUCCUUGGCAGCCCCGGAGAGCAGGUGGGUAUCUGUGGAUGGAUACACUUCCCUGGUCAUGGUUGGAAGUUCUGGGUGAUUGGGGAGGAUUGGCUGAAGGUGUGAUUCUAGGUGAUUCUGGAGGCAGUCACACACACUCUGGGACAUGCAGCCGGAUCUGCUGUGGGUGAGAUAAGGAACCUGCCAGUUGGUUCUAACAGCAGCACAGAGGGGCAGAGGAGAACAUUUCAGGACAGGGCAAGCACCUGUGCAAGGGCCCUGGGGCUAGUGGAAGCAGGUGAGUAGAGAGACUGGGGGUUGGGGUGGGAGGGUGUGGAGUGAUAUAGUUUGGAUGUGUGUCCCCUCCAGAUCUCAUGAAAUGUGCUCCCUAAUGUCGGAGGUGGGGCCUGGUGGGAGGUGUUGGAUCAUGGGGUGGGUCCCUCAUAGAUGGCUUAGUGCCAUCCCCUUGGUGAUGAGUGAGCUCUCGCUCUGUAGUUCACGUGACAGCUGGUUGUUUAAAAGGAACCAGGCACCUCCAUCUCUCUCUUGCACCCUCUCUCACCAUGUAACAUGCUGCCCCUCUUCACUUUCCUUUGUGAUUGGAAGCUUCCUGAGGCCUCACCGGAAGCUGAUACUGAUGCCAUGCUUCCUGCACCAUCUGCAGAACUGCACUAGAGCUGACCAUGUCCCAGGACUAUGUGGUUUGCAAGUACUAAUCCAUUUCAUCCUCAAGAAAAUGUCUAAGGUUUCAUGCCCAUUCUACAGAUGAGGAAACUGAGGCACGAAGAGCUUAAGAAAUGGGUCAUACCUUACACAGCUAGUUCACAGGCAGGUCUGGGAUUCAACCCCUCAGGGCUGUUUGGCUCCAGACUACACUCUUCAACACCAUGUCAGACCAUUUGAAUCCCCAGUUUACAGAUGAAGAAAUUGAGGCUCAGAGAGGUGAAGUGACUUGCCUAAAGUCACACAGCUACAAAGAGGUGAGUCUGCCUGAUUCCUGAACCCAAGCUCUUGACUCCAAUCUCAGUGAGGUGACCACUGGAAGCUUUGCAUUCUCCUCUUUCGACCCUCUCAGGAGGUGGGGCCUAUGAGUAGUGGUCUUGGGGUUCACCUGUCAUUGAGAGACAUCUGUCCUCUGCUGAAGGAUUAAGUCUUCAGAGUAGAUGAGAAGAAGGACAACCCCACAGGACCCUUAGGGGACAGUAGGGAGAUGGGCUGCCACCCUCUUGGGGUGGUAUUUUCUCUUUCUAAUGAUUUUUGACAGCUCUGACUGGUUUGGGUGAAGACAGGUUAAGUGCCUUCAUACCUGUGCAUUUUUUCCAGCUACACAGGGAGAGGCAGGCUGUGUUGAGUGUGUGAAUGGUGCCAUCAGACACAGCAUUCCUGCUGGGGUGCUCCCACCCAUCCACACUGCUCCCCGCCACCCCGGCUUACAACAGAACUUUGAAUCUAGUCUCUGUGCAAUUUCCCCCCGGCUUCUCUGGCUGAUCAAGUUGAAAUGAAAUUAGGGAACAUCUACCUUGAUAAAGGAAGGUAGGGAAGAGGAUAGAGGAGGUGAGUGAAGGCAGAAGGAACAACAAGUAACAUUUACAGUCGCUGUUUAUUAUUGGUAUUUACUGGGAACCAGGCACAUAUAUUAUCUCGUUAAUCCUUAUAUCCACCCUGAAAAGAAGGGGUUACUGUUAGCUCCAUUUUACAGAUGAAGAGACUGAGGGUCAGAGAGGCAGUCACCUGUUGACGGUCAUCCAGUUAGGGCAUUCCCAGGCUGCGAUUUCAGAGCAUCCUUCUGCGCAUCCAAACUCCUAUUUACUGGGGACGUACCAGGUGUCCAGAACUUGGGAGGUUUGAGAAUCUGUGAGUCAUGAAACAGGCAGACCAGAGCUGGCCACAUUGGCUGAGGGGAGGAAGGGUGGGAAGACAUAUCCAGAGAUACCUAUGGGCAAGUAAAGGAUUUCAAGCCACUGUGCUGAGUAUCUGUAUUAAUUCAGUCAAUCCACACACCCACCUGUGAGUUAGAAGCUAUUAGCACGCCCAUUUUACAGAUAAGAAAACUGAAGCCCCAUGAAGAGAAAGGAUCCUACUGCUAGUAAGAGAAAAGCUAGGAUUCAAAGCCCGUGAUUUUAAAACUGUACUGAGGCUGGGCACGCUGACUCAUGCCUGUAAUCCCAGCACGUUGGGAGGCCGAGAUGGGUGGAUCACCUGAGAUCAGGAGUUCCAGACCAGCCUGGCCAACAUGGCGAAACCCCAUCUCUACUAAAAAUACAAAAAUCAGCCAGGUGUGGUGGCACACCCCUGUAGUCCCAGCUACUCGGGAGGCUGAGGUGGAAGAAUCGUUUGAAUCUGGGAGGCAGAGUUUGCAGUGAGCCAAGAUCGUGCCACUGCACUCCAGCCUGGGUGACAGAGUGAGACUCCAUCUCAAAACAAAACAAAACAAAACAAAAUAAAACAACCAUACUGAGUUUCAGAAAGUGAUGGUUAGUGGUGAUGAUGAUCACAGGUAGACAGUAUCACAUGCCUGUUAUUGGUCAGACACUGUGCUAAGUGCUCUUAUAGAUCACCUAAGUUGAUCUAUAAGAGCAAUUGAUCUUACAGAUCAUCUAAAUUCCUCAUCAACCAAAAGGAGAUAGGUGCUGUGAUCCCGCCCCACCUCCUUCCCCAUGGAUUAGGAAAAUGGGGCUCAGAGAGGAGGAGUGACUUGUUCAUUUGGGAUUGGAACCAAUUAUCUCACUGGAGAGUUGGUGCAAUUGAUAAGGAAGCCACCUACCUCCAUUGAAAGAUUAUAUAUAUUUUGUGGCUAACCCUACUUCUAGAAAGACCCUGGGGAGCUUCAAAGAGGUGCUGGCUUUGGAGCUGGGUUUUGAAGAUGGAAAAGGUUUCUUCCCUCCCUCUUUCCAUCUUUCCUUCCUUCCAUAUUUGAGUAUGUGCUAUGUGCCAGGAGUGUAGCGGUGGAUGAGAGAAGCAUGCUUCUUGCCCUCAUGAACUCAUCUUAAGUCUGCAACAACACCACCAUUAUCCCCAUUUAGCAGGUGUGGUGACUGAGGUGCUGAUAACUUGGGCAAGGCCACCCGGCUAAUCCAAGAUGGAGACAGGACUGAAACUCAGUGCCAUCCCACCUUGAACCUUCUGUCUGAGAGGGUUGCCUGCAAGGAACUGAUGGGGAUGCCCCAGGAGGGAUGGGACCCCCAAAUGAGAGCAUGCAGAGUGGGUGCUGAUGAGAUGUGAGGAUCACCCAGGAGCACUGCAGUAGGGCCUGGGUAGGAGGUGGGAAGAGGAACAGUGAGGACAUCUCUGUAUUUGGAGAAGCCGCCAUGAUGGAGUCAGCCAACCUCACACCUAAUUCUGGGGUUCCCAGGAUAGUGGAAUUUCCUAACUCUUCUCUGCCCCGUUCCCUCACGGGAAGAAAUUUGCCAGAGAUCGUAAUAGGCAUGGGGGCAGACAGACCUGAAUUCAAAUGCUGGUUCUGGGUAAGUGAUUUAAAACUGCAGAUUUCUCAUCAAUGACAUGGGCAUAAUAACACCAGCUUUCAAGUGAGAGCCUUGGGGGCUACUGAAGGUAAGUUACACAUGCUUCGUAAACUGUAAAGUGUUGUGUGGAUGUGAGGUUCUGGUCGUUAUCUGUUCAUGUGUCUGUCUUCACUACACACUUUGAGCACCCAGUGAGCAAAGCCCUUGUCUGACUCCAUCCUGUAUACAGUUGGUGCUCAAUAAAUGUCAAAGGCAUGACCCGUUGUGUGGGUUAUAGUUCGUUUUGUUUAUUCCCUUUGGGAAUAGGUAGCUGACUGUGACCUAGUCUGGGACUUCAGGAGUGUUUCCAAGAUGAUUACUAAUAACAACAAGGUCAACAGCUUAUUUUAUGAAGCACUUUAUAUGUGUUUGGUUCAUCUCAUCCUCACAGCAACCCCAUGAUAUAUAUACUGGUGUCAUCCCUACUUUACAGAUGAGGAAAGGGAGAUGUUGUAUUACUUGCCCAAGGUCACACAGCACCUAAGUCGGGGAGGUGGGACUCAAAUCUCAGUUUGGGUCUUUCCGACUCCCAAAUGGGGCCCCCCCAACCACUGGGGGACCCUGCUGCCAAAGUUUCCUGUCCCCAGGCCUGGAUAGAAGACAGAACAAUGUGGAGUCUGUUGUCAUCUGGGCACUCACAUCCACUAAUAAUACAGUCAAUUGCUCCUUUCAAAUUACAGUAAAUGUUUCCCCCCUUUGAACAAAUCAUUUACCGCAACUGCAGAAAGAGUGUCCUGUUUACAUGCAGGGCCAAAGGAAUUCCAAUCUGAGUCUAAUUAUCGAUGCUGAAGCUUCUGUGGCCUUGGGAAAGAGCUGCCUAAUUGCACCAAUUAAUACCUGCCACUCGUAUGGGCUUCGUCAGGUUCAAGGUUUGGUUUUCUUCCUCUGCGGGUUGUGGGGACGAGACGGGUUAGUGCAGCCACUGCGGGUUCAGAUCUCCAGACCAUGGACUGGGUGCACAAAGGGAUUUUGUUUUCAGGCUAUUGCCAUUUUUGGAGGGGGCAGCUUUAUUUGGGGCCACCCAGGCACUUGGCCAGACCUCACCGUGGCAGGGACUGCCUUUUGCAGGAGAAUGAGGGGCCUGAGGGAUGAGGUUUCCAGGUUUCCUGUUGCGACUCUGACUCACACUGAGAUCCUCGGCAGGGCGGGUCUCCUGCUGGAGCCCCAGUUUCCCCAUGCAGAAAUGGGAAGAUUUAUGGGAUCAGAUGUAACAUCUGCAAUUGCAGUGCAAACCCAAUGAGGCUAGACAGGCUGAGGAAUUUUUACUAAAAACGGGAGGGCAGCAGUUGGGCGGCAGGUGACCCAGGCUCUAGCCUUGGCUCCACCUGUUACUUUCUGUGUAGCUUUAAAACAAUACCUUUGCCUCUCUGAACCUCAAUUUCCCCAGCUGCAAAAUGGGGAUGAUUCCACCUUCUCUCUCUGAUGCUUGUGUGGAAACCUUGCAAAGAACAUCUUGGCCCAUAAAUAUGGAGGCUGUGAUCAUCCCAUGGUGCUGAUGAGUUGCUUGAUGAAUUGCCGUAUUGGAAGAGGAAAACCGUCAGGAACUGGCUGGGUGGCAGAUAGGGUGCUGGGUGGGAGUGGGGAGGCAGAGAAAAGUUCAUGGGCUUUUACAUGAAACUGGGUUUGAAUUUUACCUCCAACUCUUCUGAGCUCUGUGGUCUUUGAUAAUAACAAUUACAAGAAUCUGUAUUGAUUUUUGCUGCGUAUCAGUCUCCCCACCUGUAUAAGGAGCUAAUGGUAACUUCUUCCAAGCAAACAGGUUGCUAGGAUUGGGCAAGAUUAGUUAUAUGAGACGGAAGGCCCAUAGUGUGGCACCUGAGAGCCACAUGGCCACAGAAGCUACAAUUCUACAUGAAUGGUGUGGAUUGGGAGACUCAGCCAUUGUCUCACCCUCCCAUUCAUUUGAACUCCAUAAGGACUGGUGGGAAACGUGGCUGUUUACUUUUCUAACAGGUAAAGCAGGGGAGUGGGUUGGGGCCAUUUUCAUUCUCCCACAGCCCCCUUUGCUGAAGAUUCCCAAUCUUUGAUUUCCCCAGCACCCCUGGGGUUUGCAGUCCCACCUGAGUGCGUUUGGGAUUGUUUUCUGAUGUGACAUAUUGUCACCGUGCAUUAUGUGUCAUCAGCCCCACAAAGCAGCGACAUCAGAGCCUGAUGCCACACGAUCGACAAAAAGAUGUGGGUCCCCCAGGGGGUCUCGGGCCUUGACAGGAGCCCUGCCACUUCCCCCCACCUGCCUUCCACGCGGAGCCCCUCUUCUGCUUCUUGGCAAAGCCUACAAGGCCCCAAGGGGGUGGGACUCUGCAGGCAGGGCCUUGGCUCACAUGGGGAUGAGCUUGAUGUCCUGGUGCCUGACACAUGCCUUGUAUGAGGUCCCCAAAUUAAAAGAAACAAAGCUCCUUUGUCAAAGGCAGCCUGAGCCUGGUGGGGAGACAUGGCAGAGCUCUGGAGUGCAGUGACUGACUGAUUUCCUCUAAUUACCGUUGGUUUAAUAUUUAUAGGGUUGGUGCCAGAGGGCUGCAAGGGAGGUAUUCAGCCCGAACGGCAGCUGUUGUAGGGCUUGGUGGAGGGCACUGAGCAGGGAAAUGUCUGCUUGCAUUUAGGGUCCCGGUGGAUCAGACCCAACUGGUCUUUCCCUGGCGCCUUCCCGAAGCACAGAAAGCAUCUAUUUAUGUAGUACAACCUAUGUGCCCUGUGCUGGGCUUAACCCCUGACAGCUUGGAGGCCCCCAGGGCCAAGUAGUUCAAGGUGGGGGCUCUGGAGUCAGAUGGACCUGAGUUUCUUAUUCAAGUUUGACAUAUUCCUGGCUGUGUGCUCUUGGGUAAUUGACCACACCUCUCUGAGCUUCAGUUCCCUUACCUAUAAAAUGGUGGUAACAAUAUGCCUCACUCAUAUGAUUGUUGUGAAGAUCUAAUGUAAAACACACAAGGUGCUUAACAUUGCUAGCACAUAGUUGUGUUCAAUAAGUAGUAGCCAUAUCUAUGCUUCAAUAGACAUAUACUUUGUAGGAUGGAACCUCUGUAUCAGCUAGCCAUGUUCUCAAUGAUGCUGUGUAACAAACUGGCCCAAAACUUGGUGGCUUAAAACAAUCACUGUUUAUUCUCAUAGAUUUGUGGUGUGGCUGAGGGUGGGUUCAUCUAGACUGGACUCUGACGGGUGGCUCUGCUGGUCUUAGCUGGACUUGCUCAAGCAGCUGGGGCUCAACUCAAUGGCUGGACUCUCUGUAUAACUCUCUCCUACUUCUGGAACUAGCACUGACCUCAACAUGUUCUUCUUUUGGCCUUGGCUCGGGUGUGGAACAUUAUUAUUUCUGAAUAGAUAUCGAAUCUAUCCUUCUCCCUAGCAUUUCUGUGGGGGAGAAAUUAUCAUUCCCAUUUUCUUGAUGGGGAAACAGAUUCUGAGAUAAGAAGCCACUGAUGGUGGAGCUAAGAUCUGAACAUUGAAAAGACCACAUUCUUCUCAACCACCAGAUUCUCUGAGCCACCUUCAAUUACAAUAGCAGGUACCAUUUAUUAAACACCUACUAUAUGCCAAGUGCUUUGAAUAAAUUAUCUUUUAUCCAAAGACAACCUUUGGUACUGACAUGCCCAUUUUACAGAUGGGAAAGCUGAGGCUCAGGAGCUGAAUACAUUGUCUAAGAUCUCAUAAGGAAUAAGUAAGUGACAGACUCAAGACUGGAACACACGGCCAGGAGUGGUGGCUCAUGCCUGUCAUCCCAGCACUUUGGGAGGGCUGAGGCAGGAGGAUUGCUUUAGCCCAGGAGUUUAAGACUAGCAUGGACAAGAUAGUGAGACCUAGGUCUCUAUCUUGAAAAUAAAAAUUAAAAAAAGUUUAAAAAAGAUUAGAAUGCAGAUCUCUCUAACCCCAUGCCAACAUGCCUUUGUAUUUGAGGUUCCCUUUGCCCGAACUGUCCUGGUCUCUCUUUGUCUCUGUCGCUUUCUGGAACCAGACUAUAUAUUCAUGACAAUAAUAAGUGUUCAGUAAAUUAUAAUGAAUAAUAGAUACCAUGUUUAUAAACUGAGGUGGUUCCAUCCCCAUUUUAAGGAUGGGGAAACGGAAUCACCAAGAAGUGAGGUCUCUUGCCCAGGUCACAGAGCCAGAAGUGGUUCUGCAGCACAGAAAUAGCCCUUGAACUCUGCUCUGCAAUGCUGAGCUAUUAAGAUGGAGGUAAGUUGCUGUGUGUUGUGUAAGGACUUGGCUCUCUCUAGCUUCCCUUGCUCCUCCUUUUGGCCUGCCUACUCCCCAUCUGAUUAAUUGAUACCUUUCUGCACUGAGGUAUCUGCCUCCAACUGGCUGUCCUGUCUCCCACGCCUUUCCCUCUUCCAUGAAAGCCUGCUUCUUCCAUGUCCCAUUGCUUGUGGUCUUGCUGGGGGCAGGAGCUUAUCUGACAAGGUAAUGUGAGCCACCUUGGGGUGCAGGGCUGAGGAUGGCAUCUCUUAUGAACUUCUCUCCUGACCCCCAUGGAGCUAAACUGGGUGGAUGUUCCCCUCCAGCUCCCUGAGCCUUGGUUCCCUCAUCUGCAAGAUGGGGAGAAACGUAGCUACUCAGAGGGUUGCUGUUAGUGUCAAAUGUGCAUGCAACUGUUUUUAGUACAGUGUCUGGCAAAGAGUAAGUGCUCAAUAAAUGUAAGCUAUUGUUAUUGUCAGUCAGGCCCUACAAUAUUUUUUUCACUUGGAGGAAAAUAAAAAAAGCUAAAAAUUAUGGAAGCCAGCCGGCUGAAGUUCCUGAGCCAUCAUUCUGCAGCCUGAGAAAUUAUCUAAACUCCGUCACCGAUUCAGGGAUGCAGAGAGGAGGCAGAGACUCUAGAGAGGAAUGGUGCCAAUGUUCUGUUCAACACCCUUUUAUUUUUUACAAGCUGAAGGUUCAAAGCUGCCCAGGGGUGCUGUCCUAGCCACACGGCCCAUUACUGAGGGGCUGAGGCCAUUCUUGUCAGUUUCCUCUUUCUCUCAUGCCCCCUUGGGCUGUAGUUGGGGCUCUGUGUGGUGUCCCAGGGAAUAGCAGCAGAGCUCUCCCUGAGUCGAGAGAGAGCCAGAGAAAACUGCCAAAGCAAUUCUCAGCAAAAUCCCUAGGGAUGUGUGUCAAGGACAAAAUAGUGUGUCCCAUGGGUAAAUACAGUUAACACAGCUGCAAAACAGAAUUUAUUUCUUGUUUGAGAUAUCAUUUUUAAAGUAUGGCAUAGGGAGAGCUUUAAAUAUGAAAUUAUAGCUGGCAAUAAAAGAACCUCAUAGGCACUGUAUUCAAAUUAUGCUGUAGUAAUAGGCCAAGUUCAUAAAUAAACAUUGCUUGUUAACCCUUUGCUGAGCGCCGUGGGCCAGGUGGCUGGGACAAGGUUGGGACAAGGUUGGGACAGGGCUGGGAGAGGCAGAAAUGGCAUGACCUUCCAAGUGUCCUUCGGGCUGCCCCCUCCAACUUUCUCCACCCAGCCUCUUCAUUCUGGUGUUAAAGAUCAACAGAUUAUUCUCUGAUAAAAUGAGAGGCCUGGACUAUCUACUGGCUUUGCAGAAAUGUACCACCCAGACCUCUGAGCUGGGAGUAUUUUAGGAUCUGAAUUAAAUAGGUCCAUCCUAAAGCUCCCUGCAUUUCUGACCUCCU
rnacentral:lncRNA from 1 species